GAGAGGGUGGAGGUCAUCAGCGUGUCUCGGAGUCCAUUUCGGUGGAGAGGAGGCUUAUCUGGAAUCCCCUCCACAAGCAGCAACAGUGCUGCCCACCUGCAAGUGGGAUUCGGUGCUUAUCUGCUCGACCGAAAUGCCAAGGCUUCAGCUGCCGACUUCGACUGUGGCCAAAGCAGCAGCAGCAACAGCUGCUGCUGCGUGGUCCAUGUUCUCAUCAUCAUCAUCAUCAUCACCAUCACCCUUCUUGCUGCCAUUCGAGGCCACAGCGGCGCCGGCUGUCAGGAUAACUCCAACCCUCGCAGGCUUCGGUUCCACACGUUGCUUCGCUGUUGUCGCCGCCGCCGGCCGAAGGCGAUGGCACCGAAAAGGCUGGCGAGACGAGCAAGUCUUCGCUACCUCGUCGUCUCUCGUUCGGCCUCUCAAAUCGCAUCCCCCCCAUUGCACACAUUUUGGCCACCAAGCUGUUCUUCCGUGUCUGCAUACGGAGAAGAAACACAACAUCGAACUCCGCAAGUAACGUGUUCGACCAAAUGACACCGUCACGUCGAGGCGGAGUUACUUGACCCAACCACUCCUCCGACUCCAUUUUCUCCGGCAUUAGCAGCCGCAGACUCGAUCGUUUGCAGCAGCGACCCACGAGUAGAGAGAGUGCACCGAGAACCGGUGACGAAGUCACGAGUCAGAGUUGAGGGGCUUUGACAAGUCUAAGAUCUCCAGGGUCGAUGCUUCAAAUCUAGAGAGUGACAGAGAGAUGCGUGUGAGACUGAGACUGUCGAAGAGUUUGGCCAGGAGAUACCAGUGAUUCGUACAAGGUUGGGAGCUGAAACCAUCGCCGAUCACAUCCGUAGUAUCGAUCAUCACGGACUUCAAACUUUUUGUCUUCGUCGAUAGAACAAAUAAAUAACUAUUAUCGACGAGAUCGUAUAAAUAUUAUUGGCAAGGCAACAAGUAAAACCACUUUCUAAGCUUUGGAUCACCAGACGACGGAGCUGUAGGGUUCAUCGGAGGGGGACGCUUCACAUAUAUUUGUGUUGUAUGGGCACUUGUGCGUGCAGAUUUUGGUGGGGGGCAAUGGACCGGCAUAGCUGCUAUGUGAAUGAUGGAAAGUUGGAAGAGACUUAGUUACCUGGAUCCGUGGCCUUUGCCAAGUAAUGAAAUAUUUGUGGAGUGAUGGUGUUC